CACAAAGGGUCAUUAUACGUUAACCAAAGAUUAGAGAUAUAUGAUUAACCGGUAAUUGAAAGCGUGUUGAUGUUUAUCCUUAUACUGCUACAAUAUUGACAGUUGGAAUGGUGUGCAAUGGUGAAGUUCUAUUUGCAUUACCUUUGUGCAGUUUUGCAGUUUAUUACGUCCUCAGGAAAAGGUGAAGGUGCCUUUUUUGUAUUGGGAACGGAUGCAGUGUGUUAUUGUUAAAAGAAGGAUUUGUGACAUGAAUUGAUUGACUAACAAAUAAGAGAGUUUGGGAUGUUAAUUUUGAUCCUAGUGAUGACGACAUGGUAUGUCUGCACUGGUAUCCUUUUUCAGUUUGGUUUACUUUCUAUACAUCUGGACCAUGGAAUGUUACAUUCUACAACUUAUUCAGGUAAUAAUACAUAUUUCAAAAAACAUCCUGGAACAUAAUGCACAGGAGGACGAGCAUGUGUUGCUUCCUUGUAUAAAUACCGUUAGAUUGUCCAUUCAUUUAGUUGGGGUUGUAAAUAAUUGCCAACUUCAGUCUACCAAAUUUUUUUUAAAAAGGCUUGGUUGGCGUUUAUAGCUCCACUACAUUUUGCUGAUUUUGCCAUAAAAAUUCAUAGAGAACAUCGACUUGCACUU